UAAUGUCUUAUUUCCACUCUCUGUCACUGUGUCUUUCUCGAUUCUCAGAGAAAAAAAAGAGGGUUCGUAUUUUACUAUUUUCUCCUCACUGAGCUGCCUCUCGUUUCCGUACUGAACAAAGGCGAACCCGUACAGAAGGCGAGCCUCAUCGGUGCUACAUCAAGCGGCCUGAGCUCAGCCUCAGGCUUAGGGACACCGCUAACUAAUACUUACCGUUAGUCCAUGUAGAAUUUCUGAGCAGGGGUCGCUGGUAUCGCUCUCAGUUUGGGACUCUUGCUUCCGGCCCCUGUACGUUGAGCUCAUGUGGUGCGGCUGACUGUAGAUCUACCAGCUCCGGUAGUCGUUCGUCAAUUCCUGGGUCUCGCCUGUCUGUCUUGCUUGUGAGCUGACCAUCGGGAACGCCGUGCCAAUCGAAAAACAGUAGCCCCUACGUUCUGAGUUCUGAGUUCUGAGUUGGGCCUCUCCGCAUCAAAUAAAUAAUAGAACAAGGUCGGUUUCAUUUCAGACUCGGAUAGAAGACAUCUCCAUGGCCAGAUACCGGUACUACUGCAGAAAGAGGAGGCUGAACAGUGGAUACUUUACAGUCAAUGUGCACUGCACUUCAGCGAACAGUGUCAGGGUGGCAGCGACCUGAUCAAGAUGUAUCCCUGUGUGUCGUCAACCACGACCGCUGUGCUGCAUUCUCCUAUCGCCAGAUUGCUGCGGAUAUGAUGGAAGCAUGCGCGUGACCAUAUCGCAGCUAAUGCUAGCUUGGUGUUAGCCAACACAGGAACAAACUGUAUGUCGAAGGGUGUGCCAUUCAUCUCUCAAAGGAUGAUGUCGAAAGUCUAGACUAGAAGACGCCACUUCGAUCAGCUUGUCAUCCUUCUCCAAUCUGAUUGAGAAGUGCCAGUUGUGAUGCUGCAACAUUUCAACCUGGGAUUCAGGCCGCUCCCCACCUGGGAUUCAGGAAGUUCCCCACCUGGGGUUCAGGCUGCUCGCGACCUAUUGUGUCAGGACAAGAGACAACACACAGACAACAAUGGCCGACACGCAUUGCGCGAAAUCACGCGACACC